CGGAUGCGAUCAUACCAGCGCGACA
rnacentral:rRNA from 3 species